rnacentral:miRNA from 1 species
AUUGUCUCUCAGCUGCUUCAUC